CAGGAUAUAGCUGUUUUCUGCGAAAAUUGUUGUAGCAAUGGAUUUAUUGUAAUUAUUAUAGGUAGGUAUAGCACUGAAUACUUUUUUAUUCGGAGGGAGUAUGAGAGUACUUAUCUCAAGUAUUUAAUCUCAGAAUGACUUAUAAUGAAGAUAAGUUCUUAGACUUUUUGCGAUAAGGUAUAAAGUCGAAAGGGAAACAGCCCAGAACAA
rnacentral:rRNA from 1 species